AGGUCAGGAGUCCAGAGUCGGCUGAAGCGAGUUGCCGCGUUCUCUCUGGCGGCGCGACACCGGCCCGUGGACCGCCCGGCCGCCCUCCAGGACCCGGUCUGCAGGAGCGGAGAGGGCGGUGUGGACACCGCCUGCAGGCGAGGAGAAGGGGUGGCGGAGAGGGUACCUGGCAACCCAAAGAGCUGGCGGCGUCAUUCCCAUUUUACAAAUGCGAACACGGGCUCAGAGAUGGAGCGACUCACGUUGUAAGCGAUGGAACUGGGAUUUGAAAACACUGUAUCCCGCCUGGCAGAAAACUGGCAAGGUUAGGAUGGAGAAAGGAGAAAAAAGAAAGAUGUCGGCCAGGUGCGGCGGUUCAUACCUGUAAUCCCAGCACUUUGGGAGGCCAAGGCGGGCGGAUCACUUGAGGUCAGGGGUUUGAGACCAGCCUGGCCAAGAUGGUGAAACCCCGUCUCUAGUAAAAAUGCAAAAUUAGCCAGGGGUGGUGGCGCAUGCCUGUAAUCUCAGCUACUCGGGAGACUGAGGCAGGAAAAUCGCUUGAACUGGGGAGGUGGAGGUUGCAGUGAGCUGAGAUCGUGCCACUGUGCCACCGCACUACAGCCUGGGCGACAAGAGCAAAACUCCUUCUCAAAAAAGAAAAAAAAGGGCAUCUGAUGGAAGGCUAGAUACUACCCGACAUUGAGCUAAACCAAUGUCACCUGGUUGGACCUAGGGACCUAUUCCUGCUCCCCCUCUAGUUCUGUCUCAUUUCUGGGGUUGCACACAGGCUUUUCCUGGGCCUUCAUGUUUGGGGAAGCCCCACACAGGCCAGCUCCAGUGGAAGAAAACGCCCCCAGAAGCCUCUUGUUCACCCCGGAUGGCUCUGUGGAGUCCUGUGUCUGACCCUGACUUUAGCUUGGGCCUGAGGGACUGGCAUUUGUGGACUUGGUCUGGAGAUGUGGGCAGAGCCCCCCUCAAGCAUAAGGGCUCAGCCAGGCACAGGGGGUGGCUCCUCAGAGGAAGAUCAGGGUGCUAUUAGCAGAAGGACGAUGAGUGGGCCGGGCGCAGUGGUUCACGCCUGUAAUCCCAGCCCUUUGGGAGGCCGAGGCGGGUGGAUCAUGAGGUCAGGAGAUGAGACCAUCCUGGCUAACAUGGUGAAACACCGUCUCUACUAAAAACACAAAAAAUUAGCCGGGCGUGGUGGCGGGCGCCUGUAGUCCCAGCUACUCGGGAGGCUGAGGCAGGAUAAUGAGGUGAACCCAGGAGGCGGAGCUUGCAGUGAGCUGAGAUUGUGCCACUACACUCCAGCCUGGGCAACAGAGCAAAACUCUGUCUCAAAAAAAAAAAAAAAAAAAAAAAAGGAGGAUGAGUGGUCGCUAGACUGCUGGAGAAACAGUCUAGAGGUAGGGAGCCCUGGGUUCUGUCCUGCCUGUGACACUCUGUAGCCAUUUAUCUCCUCUUUAGCUUUAGUUUCCACAUUAAAAGAGGCAUUGAAAAAAAAUGAAAAAGAGGCAUUGAAUUAGGAGCUUUCUGUGGCCCCUUGCAGUUUUCAUGUGUGGUGACAAAGUUCAAUAUAGUUUUCCUGAAUUCAGGGGCUUGGGGACCCAUGUCCCCCUAUCCCGAGUUCUUUUUUUUUUUUUUUUUUUUUGAGAGGGAGUCUCACUCUGUCACCCAGGCUGCAGUGCAGUGGUGAGAUCUCAGCUCACUGCAACCUCCACCUCCCAGGUUCAAGCGAUUCUCCUUUCUCAGCCUCCUGAGUAGCUGGGACUACAGGUGUGUGCCACCACGCCAGGCUAAUUUUUUUAUUUUUAGUAGAGACAGGAUCUCACCAUGUUGGCCAGGCUGGUCUUGAACUCCUGACCUCAGGUAAUCCACCCAUCUCAGCCUCCCAAAGUGCUGGGAUUAUAGGCGUGAGCCAGCAUGCCCGGCCAAAAGUUUGCUUUCUUUUGAGUCUGUGAUCAGCCUUUCACUGAAUACACAAUUUACAUGUGAGAGUGGGUAGAGGAAUAGUCACAUAUGCCUUACUCACUGUCUGGCUCAGUGAAUCUGCAUUUUGUAUAAACAAUAGGACAGAGGAAGAAAUCACAUAUGCAUUUGUCUUCAGUGAGCGGAGGGCUGACUUUCUGCAUUGUACCUGUGAAGAUAAGCUAUCAAUUUACAUUGCCAGGGAAAAUUCAUCAGAACUGUUUUAGGGCAAAGAUCUUGAGGCCCGAAAGGAAUUUGCUUGUGGAGAAAUUGUGAGGGGGGUAUGUAGCUCUUUUGAACUUUCUAGCUAUCUUAUUGAAGAAUAAAACGGGAGGCAGGUUUGUCUGAUGCGACCCUCAGCUUGACUUUUCUCUUUGGCGUAGUGAUCUUGGGGUCCCGAGAUUUAUUUUCCUUUCACAGUAGGAUACAUUGAUCAGGUCAGUGCCACAGUACAAGGGUCAGAAGUGUUUGAACCCGAGCGACUCCAUCUUGAACAGGGGCUGGGUAAAAUGAGGCUGAGAACUGCUGGGCUCCAUCCCCAGGAGGUUGGGCAUUCUUGGUCACAGGAUGAAAUAGGAGGUCAGCAGGUUUGGUAUCACAAGAUACAGGUCACAAAGCCCCUGCUGAUAGAAGAGGAUGCGGUAAAGAAGCCAGCCAAAACCACGAUGGUGAUGAAAGUGACUUCUGGUUGUCCUCACCGCUCAUUAUACUCUAAUUAUAAUACAUUAGCAUGCUAAAAGACACUCCUACCGGUGCUGUGACAGUUUAUAGAUGCCAUGGCAACGUCAGGAAGUUACCCUAUAUGGUCUGAAAAGGAGGGGAAACCUUAGUUCCAGGAAUUGCCCUCUGCUUUCCUGGAAAACUCAUGAAUAAUCCACCCCUUGUUUACCAUAGAACCAAGAAAUAACUAUAAGUAUACUCAGUCCAGCAGCUCAUGCUGCUGCUCUGGCUGUGGAGUAGUCAUUCUUUUAUUCCUUUACUUUCUUUUAUUUUUUAUUUAUUAUUAUUAUUAUUAUCUUAUUUGAGAUGGAGUCUCUGUCGCCCAGGCUGGAGUGCAGUGGCGCGGUCUUGGCUCACUGCAACCUCCGCCUCCUGGGUUCAAGUGAUUCUCCUGCCUCAGCCUCCUGAGUAGCUGGGAUUACAGGCGCAUGCCAGCAUGCCCGGCUGAUUUUUAUAUUUUUAAUAGAGAUGGGGUUUCACCAUGUUGGCCAGGCUGGCCUCGAACUCCUGACCUCAGGUGAUCCGCUCACCUCGGCCUCCCAAAGUGCUGGGAUUACAGGCGUGAGCCACCACGCCUGGCCUGGAGUAGUCUUUUAUUCCUUUACUUUAUUAUCAUUAUUAUUUUUGAGAUAGAAUCUUGCUCUGUUGCCCAGACUGGAGUGCAGUGGCACUAUCUCAGCUCACUGCAACCUCUACCUCCCGGAUUCAAGCAAUUCUCCUGCCUCAACCUCCUGAGUAGCUGGGAUUACAGGUGCACGCCACCACACCCAGCUAAUUUUUGUAUUUUUAGUAGAGACGUGGUUUCACCAUGUUGGCCAGGAUGUUCUUGAACUCUUGACCUCAAGUGAUCCGCCCACCUUGGCUUCCCAAAGUGCUGGGAUUACAGGUGUAAACCACUGCACCCAGCCUGUUCAUUUACUUUCUUAAUAAGCUUGCUUUCACUUUAUGGACUUGCCCCAAACUCUUUAUUAUGUGAGGUCCAAGAACCCUCUCUUGGGGUCUGGAUCGAGGCCCCUUUGCAGUAUAACAAGGAUCAGGAGUAGACAAAGAAAAGUCCAGGUCCCUGGCUCAACAGAAUCUACUCUCCAGCAAACAAGAUAAAACUUGCUAUCUCCCUUUAAUUGAAGUCCCUAAUGUUUAAUGGAAGUCCCAGUAGGCAUCCAUAUGGUCUCUGUAUUUACCAGCGGCUGGAAGCUCGCUUUGUACGUUACUCUGCACAACACCACAUGACUGCUCCUGACAGUAAUUUGAGGAGCUUCUGGUGAUGGUAAACUUGCACAGUAUGUUCAAAACCAACCUACAAUCUGUGUUACGCCUGUAUGUUUCACAAGGAACAUGUCUGUAUAUUUCGACUCCAGAAAUAUAAUUUGUCAAACCAA